AACGAACGCUGGCGGCAUGCCUAACACAUGCAAGUCGAACGAAGUCUUCGGACUUAGUGGCGCAUGGGUGCGUAACGCGUGGGAAUCUGCCCUUGGGUACGGAAUAACUCAGAGAAAUUUGUGCUAAUACCGUAUAAUGUCUUCGGACCAAAGAUUUAUCGCCCAAGGAUGAGCCCGCGUAAGAUUAGCUAGUUGGUGGGGUAAAAGCCUACCAAGGCGACGAUCUUUAGCUGGUCUGAGAGGAUGAUCAGCCACACUGGGACUGAGACACGGCCCAGACUCCUACGGGAGGCAGCAGUGGGGAAUAUUGGACAAUGGGCGAAAGCCUGAUCCAGCAAUGCCGCGUGAGUGAUGAAGGCCUUAGGGUUGUAAAGCUCUUUUACCAGGGAUGAUAAUGACAGUACCUGGAGAAUAAGCUCCGGCUAACUCCGUGCCAGCCGCCGCAGUAAAAC
rnacentral:rRNA from 1 species